GGGCCUGUAGCUCAGCUGGCUAGAGCAUUUGUAUGGCAUACAAAAGGUCAGGGGUUCAAGUCCCCUCAGGUCCA
rnacentral:tRNA from 1 species